GAGAGGCGCCCGCCAGCAGGCCUGCCCGAUACUCUUUCCCUGUUGCACUACUGUGGACCACUGGGAAGCAGUGCAAUGAUGAAAGGGCAUCGGUCAGGCCGGCCGCUGCUCCGCAGGGCU
rnacentral:precursor_RNA from 14 species